AUUGAACGCUGGCGGCAGGCUUAACACAUGCAAGUCGAACGAAGUGGCGAACGGGUGAGUAAUACGUGGGUAACCUGCCCUCCUUUUUGGGAUAAGCCUUGGAAACGGGGUCUAAUACCGAAUAAAGGGGGAUGGGCUCGCGGCCUAUCAGCUUGUUGGUGGGGUGAUGGCCUACCAUGGCGGUGCCGGGUAGCAGGCCUGAGAGGGUGACGGGCAACGUUGGGACUGCGAGACGGCCCAGAGUGGUACGUGUGGCCGAAGUUGGGGAUAGGGCGCAAUGCGGGAAAGGCGUAUGCAGCGCCACCGCGUGGGGGAUGGAGGCUUUAGGGUUUUAAACCUCUUACGCUAUCGAACGGGUAGGUGGAGAAUAAGCACCGGCUAACUCCGUGCCAGCAGCCGCGGUAAUUC
rnacentral:rRNA from 1 species